AUUGAACGCUGGCGGCAGGCCUAACACAUGCAAGUCGAGCGAGCGGCGGACGGGUGAGUAAUGUAUGGGGACUGCCCGAUAGAGGGGGCUAACUACUGGAAACGGUGGCUAAUACCGCAUACUAUCGGAUAACCCAUAUGGGAUUAGCUAGUAGGUGGGGUAAAGGCUCACCUAGCAGACGAUCUCUAGCUGGGCUGAGAGGAUGAUAAUCAACACUAGGACUGAGACACGUCCCAGACUCCUACGGAGGCAGCAGUGGGGAAUAUUGCCAAAUGGGGGAAAGCCUGAGGCAGCCAUGCCGCGUGUAGGAAGAAGUCUUUAGGGUUGUAAAGUAAUUUCACCGGGGAGGCGUUACCCGAAGAAGAGGCACCGGCUAACGCCGUGCAAGCAGCCGCGGUAAUUC
rnacentral:rRNA from 1 species